rnacentral:rRNA from 1 species
AGAGUUUGAUCCUGGCUCAGGAUGAACGCUAGCGACAGGCUUAACACAUGCAAGUCGAGGGGCAGCGAGGGAGUGGCAACACUUCUGUCGGCGACCGGCGCACGGGUGAGUAACGCGUAUGCAACCUGCCCUUCACAGGGGGAUAACCGGGAGAAAUUCCGACUAAUACCGCAUACGUCCUUUGGGGGCAUCCCCUGGGGAUGAAAGAGUUAUCGGUGAAGGAUGGGCAUGCGUGAUAUUAGGUAGUUGGCGGGGCAACGGCCCACCAAGCCCACGAUAUCUAGGGGUUCUGAGAGGAAGGUCCCCCACAUUGGUACUGAGACACGGACCAAACUCCUACGGGAGGCAGCAGUGAGGAAUAUUGGUCAAUGGACGAGAGUCUGAACCAGCCAAGUCGCGUGAAGGAAGACGGAUCUAUGGUUUGUAAACUUCUUUAGUGCGGGAACAAAGCGGCGUCGUGACGCCGGAUGAGUGUACCGCAAGAAUAAGCAUCGGCUAACUCCGUGCCAGCAGCCGCGGUAAUACGGAGGAUGCGAGCGUUAUCCGGAUUUAUUGGGUUUAAAGGGAGCGCAGACGGGUCGUUAAGUCAGCUGUGAAAGUUUGGGGCUCAACCUUAAAAUUGCAGUUGAUACUGGCGUCCUUGAGUGCGGUUGAGGUGUGCGGAAUUCGUGGUGUAGCGGUGAAAUGCUUAGAUAUCACGAAGAACUCCGAUUGCGAAGGCAGCACACUAAUCCGUAACUGACGUUCAUGCUCGAAAGUGUGGGUAUCAAACAGGAUUAGAUACCCUGGUAGUCCACACGGUAAACGAUGGAUACUCGCUGUUGGCGAUAUACUGUCAGCGGCUUAGCGAAAGCGUUAAGUAUCCCACCUGGGGAGUACGCCGGCAACGGUGAAACUCAAAGGAAUUGACGGGGGCCCGCACAAGCGGAGGAACAUGUG